AGUUUCUUGUGAUGUCUUUGCACUGGGCUCUGAUUUAAUCUGAGGAUAACGUGCCGCCCUGCCCCUGACAAGGCAGGGCCUGAUGGAAAU
ensembl:snoRNA small nucleolar RNA SNORD88